rnacentral:siRNA from 1 species
UUGUUGUAGCCACCUUGAUUCU